GAGGCUACUGGAGGAGUUCGCUAGGCCAACCCAUAAACAAUCACAGCACAAUACCUCCGGAGGUCACAAGUCCAUUAAGAGGCAAGGAAGCACAGGAAUCUUUGCGUGCCUGGUGGAGAGACUCCCCAGGUAAAAGUGGUAACCUGUAGCGAAGUCGGCAUGGGAAGAACAGCAUACACGCAAGAGCGAGAGAGAUACCCAACAGGAGAAGCCGCCACUUGUAUGCUACCAGGCCGCUGGUUGAUUCCGGUGCUCCCUGUACAACGUCGGAUUGUACUGGUUCUAGCUUUAAGCAGCGUUCAAUCAUGUCCCAGGCUCACGGAUUGGUGGGGCUAAAGUGAGGGAGAGAACAGUAAUCAGUGGACAACGAACCACGUAGACAGACAAGAACAAGAUUUAAAAUGACCUUGGAUGGCGGAAUAAUGGGAGCGACGGAACAUUAAGCUCCGUUCUACCUGCUCCUCGGAACUGGCAGGGGGAAGGACGGGGAGAGGAGCCAGAAACGUCCUUCAAGUCUCGGCAGGAAAAAAAAGGACACGGAGAGGGAGAACGACACGGAGACUGGAGACUCAAAUGCGCAGCAUGCGGUGCGGUGCGGUGAGGUGGUGUAGGGUGUGUGGGUGCAGCGCAGCAGAGAUUCUCCUCACGUUCCCUGGCCGCUUUGGAUCCAGAUCAUGGGGACAGAGGUGGAUCAGCUGGUGGAGCCGGGGAGAGUCUCUGCCAAAGGCGUCAGGCAGAAAUGAAUAAACCGAGAGCCGUGACAAGAGGCGCUCCAGCAACCCAAAGUCCAUCCAAGACACCAACAGCAUCCAAAUGGUGACCAGAAAAACAAAGAAAGAAAGAAAGAAAAGGAGAGAAAAAUAAAAAUGGCACAGGAGCAGCUGGGAGCAACAGAUGCUACUCCUCCACUGCCUGACUCAAGCUCCAGACGCUAAUGACUGGCACGCGCCGUGCCACGCACUAAUCGCCACCGUGCCUGUGCCAGGCCUGGAGAGCCUGAGGAGAAGGCUCCGGCACUGCCAAAAGAUCACACCCUCCACUGCACGGCUGAACAAGGAGCGUUCGGGCCGAGAGCCCCGCCACUGGGUGGCAUGGAGCGACCGCGCGCCAGCCUGCCAAGCUCGCUGGAAGUGAACUAAAUAUGCAAAAACACAACCUGUUUGUAUUUAUUAGUGUCAGCGGAAAGGUCAACUCGGAAUAUUCCAGUUACUUCACAGACUGUGCACUUACUGUUUUAAUGAAUCAAUAAUUAGGGGGAAAAAACAGGUACAAAUGUUUUUGGCCGCUGUGUUCUUUAUCCUUUUUAACAGGCAGUGCAAUUUAAGAGAUAUUAUGCAGCAUAUAAUGCAAGCAUGAUGGCAUGCAGCUUUUCAGUUUUUGAUAGUAAAACAAAUGCUGUGAAACAACUGCUAGAACAGGGAGUAAUCAAAAUUAUUAAUUGACUGACAUGUUUGGCAAGGUUUUGACACCCAAUAGCAGUGUUGCUUGGCACAUGCCCUUUUCCCCUUGGUGUAGCUAUUGGCUCCAUCUGGGUUGAAGCUCAUGGGUUUGCUCUCACAUACACACACUCAUACACACACACACACACACGCACACACGCAAACACACACACACACAUACACACACAGGGAUGCAGAGGGAUGAGGUCAGGGCCAAUAACACUAUGUGUGUGUGUGUUUGUAUAAGUGUGUGUACGAGUGUGUGUAUGCACACACAUAUGUGUGUGUUUAGGAGGGGAAGGAAGGAAGCUCUCGUCGCCAAGAUUUGCGCUGACUCAUCAUCACCACAUUUCAAACUCAGGACUCACCAGAGAGGGAAAAACCAAUAAACCAGCCCAAAUGCCCAUGGGCCAGUGGAUUAGAGACCCUAAGCUGUCUCAGGGACCAGUCAGCAGUGUAGCAUCCACCUCUGCUCCCAGCCUCCUCUUCCUCUGCCCGAGAGAUAGGCAACAUGUGGCAGACACCAGAGCCGGAGCCUCACAAAUAACAUGGAUGACAUUUAGAUAAGAUAUGAACAGAUUGAUAGGUUUUACUGGACUUUACAGGAGAGAGGGAAUAUGUUGCACUGAAUGCAUUUAGGUUGCGCGUAUGUUCUUUAACAAAGAUGGGAAAGUUGGGUGGUUAUUGCAAAAAAUAUUAUACUAAAUUAUAAUAAUUGGGAAAUGUUUGGAGAAUGAUAAUGAUUGCAUGCCUUCACUAUUUGUAGUGGCUAUGACAAAACAGCAGGAAACAUCCAUGGUAGCUUGGGGAGUUCCAGGCUAUCCAGAUGGAUUAUGGUUGAUCUCCAUCGUGGUUCAUCAGUACACCUGUCCUCACUGCAGGCGAUAGAGAUUGGGGUAAAACUGCUAUUGUUUUCCUAGUCUCACUUACUGUUUUACAUAUGUCAUUUCCACAUAGGACUAAGUAGAGACCACUGUCUUAUUGGACAGUUUUACCAGUUUUACCUGUUCUCACUCACUGAGAAAUGUAACUCCAAAAUAUGAUUUAUUGUUUCUCGUUUCUCUGCAUAUGACUCAAACCGAAUUUGACCUGAAAUGCCCUUCUCUCUCUUGUUCUGUCGUGUGAUUGGGUACGGUGGUACUUUUUUAGUGUACAUGACUUACAUGACAGGUAACGAAGAGACCAUUUAUUUAUCAUCCGCUUUUGCCUGCAAAAAUCUACUGGUGACAGUCGCAGCAUUUCAGCAACCUCAUAUCACUGGUGCUCACUGUCCCCGUGUGAGAUUUCAUGCCUAAUUUGUCCCAGUUUUCAUGGCAGUCCCUCAUUAUUCUGCAGCUUACUGGCCUGACCUCAGAAACAGUGGUGCAGCAGGAGAGUGAUAUCCACAUAAUGGACAUGGACUCAUGGAUAGACAUGGAUCUAAUUGAAACAUGUGUCUGUUGUAGUACAUCUCCUAAUGAACACAUCACCAUUUUUCAACUGUAGCAGUAUUUAUCAUGUAUUAGAUACUAUUAUGUAUCAUCUAACGCCUAGUAUGUCAUAGAUUAUGUGUUCAGUAUCUAAAGUAUUACAUUUCUUCAGUUCUGUUGGGUGCUAUUUAAUCAGAAUGUUUGGUAAAGCUCUCUAUGAAGCUUUUAUCUAUGAGGGCAUUAAUAAUGACUUAAAAAGAAGCUAUAAGUAGUUGUAACAUUCAUUAAAGCUAUGUAUAUGUCUUCACAAUGACUCAUAACCACCUUUACGAUACAUUACGUAUGUCAGUUCAUUAUGAAUGGUUAUAAUUUAAGACAGAAUAAUGCAUUAUAAAUAUGUGAUCAAUAAUGCAUCCCAGCUAACUGUGCAUCCCAGCAAUAAUGCAUCCCAGCUUGUUUGUCUGAAGUUAUGUAGAGAUGUGCAAUGAGACUUGACGGCUAUUUCAGUGUUAAGUCAUCGCCAUAAGUCAUUGCAAUAAACAUUCUAACCAUGUAUGUAAGUCACCCCAUAACCACCUUAAUUUUACAUUAUGCAUAUUAAUUCAUGGUUAUCAGCACAGCAGCAUGAUUCGUUAUAAAAUACAUUAUAGACAUUAUUUAUGUAUUAGCAUUAC
ensembl:lncRNA